CGUCGGGGGCGGUUCCGUGCGUGCCGGGCCGGGCGGUGUCGGCCAUGGGGAACCUGUUCGGGCGGAAGCGGCGGAGCCGGGUCACGGAGCAGGACAAGGCGGUGCUGCAACUGAAGCAGCAGCGGGACAAGCUCCGGCAGUACCAGAAGCGAAUCAGCCUCAACCUGGAGCGGGAGCGGGCGCUGGCCCGGCAGCUGCUGCGGGAGGGCCGUAAGGAAAAAGCCCUGCUCCUGCUGAAGAAGAAACGUUACCAAGAGCAACUCCUGGAUAAAACAGAGAAUCAAGUCAGCAACUUGGAGCAGAUGGUCCAGGAUAUUGAAUUCACCCAGAUUGAAAUGAAAGUCAUUGAGGGCCUGAAAAUAGGCAAUGAAUGUCUGCACAAAAUGCACCAGGUUAUGUCAAUAGAAGAAGUAGAAAGAAUAAUAGGUGAAACACAAGAUGCUGUGGAGUACCAGAGGCAAAUAGAUGAGAUGCUGGCUGGCUGCCUGACUGAGGAAGAUGAAGAUGCCAUCCUAGAAGAAUUAAAUGCUAUUACUCAGGAACAGGUGGAGCUUCCAGAAGUUCCUUCUGAGCCACUCCCAGAAAAGAUCCCAGCUCCUGCCAUCCAGACUGCACAGAGCUGAAUGUCACUGAGGUUCAGGAGCUGUUCUGCCUCUCGUGACCUCGCUUCAAGUAACAAGAGGAAUUCUGAGCUGGCUGGAUGAGGAUUGCUGGAGGCCCACAGUGCCAGGACUGGAAUGCUCUGUGUCUGUGUGCUCCUGAGCUAUCCAGAGCCUCAGCAGCAGGAAGCAUCACCCAUCAAGAACAGCCCAAAACCAGAACUGGUGGCAGCAUCUUAACUCCCACUGCUGGGGAUUCCCCCACGUAACUUUCACCCAGGACAGUUUGCCAUCCCAGCGUGUGCUGGGAACAAGCAAUGCCUUGGCAGCAUCCCAGCUGUGCUGGGCAGAUUGUGGAGCAGGAUUCCCUGUGCAGGGUGGGGAACCUCAGCUGAUUAUUGCUCUUGUAUCAAGAUUAUUUUCUAGUGCUUUCUUUUUUUGUAACUUAAAUUCCAAACUCACUCAGCUGCGCUGUCUCGGGAUUAAACAACAACUCUCAAACUUCCGAAGCCAAAUCCUUUCUCUAGGUUUGAUUUCAGUGGUGAAUCUGCCUUUGCUCUGCCCGAUUCCCUGGGAAGUUCCACCUUGGAGCAAUGGGGUGUUUGAUUCAGCUGUCCUGGGCCCCAGCCCCUGCCCUCAGGAGCCUGCUGGACCACGCACCCUCCCUCUCCUGGUUCUAUCUGUGGAAGGGCUGCUCCUGUCAGCCUCCUGUCAAGCUGAGAGUGUCCCAUGUGAGCAAAGGUCAGUGGCUGCUGGGCUGGCAGGGGAGAAGCCUGAUCUGCUGAGUGAGAUGAAGAGCCUGAGCCAGGAGUGGUCAGGAGCCAUUCCCAUCCAGGUCCCUCUGGUGAGCUGUGGUGCUGAGUGAGACCUGGGGUGACAGAAGUCUGAUGAGCCUCUUGAAGUCACAGCAAGGAGUCUUCUGCAUACGACACAAGCCAGGAGUCCUCCCUCGUUGGCUCUGCACCAUCAUCAAGUUCACCUUCACACCCUUCAGAUGGCCCAAGAUCCAUCCCACCUCCAGUCCUCAGCUCCUGGUUGUUGUUUCCCCAUGGGAAUGGGGACAGGACAGGUCAGGCUGGGGUAAACCUGGGGCCCAUUCUGCACCAGCCACGAGGCACGAAGCUUCUCAAAACAACACUCCAAAGACUCUGCUCAGUGAGUAGCUGGAGGGGAGGACAGUUCCUGCUGAGGAUGGUGUGGUGCUCACUGUGGUGCUGGAGUGUCCAGGAGGCUGCCUGGCCAGCCAGCUGCUGGCACACUGAGCUGGUGUUGGGAGCAAGCUUGCUCGCCAGCAUGCAGAUGCUCUUCAGGACACUGCAGAUCUUUAUUUAUUAUGUUCUUGAAGCCACAACCCUGAAGUGCUGUUUGUGUGACAGCAGAAGGACUCAGAGGGUCCUUGGAGACUUUCAGUGACUGCCUUUGGGGUUGUGUGAUCUGGUGCUAGACAAUAACAACCCCAGAAGACUGCUGCUCUCCAGCCUGUGGGGCUUGGCUGGCAGCAGCUCUGGUUCUGGGUCAUCUCCAUUCACUGUGUUCCAAAGACUGACCAGGGCAUCCCUGUCCCUCCACACGGGGCCAGACUCUCACAGCCUUGGGAGUUGCUGUAUUUCCAGUUCCACUCUGCUCCCUCUUAAUGCUUCACAACCAAGCUGGGGUCCUGUAAGCCCUGGUCCCAUGUUUUCUCCCCAGUGCUGCUUCAGCAAAGCCCUUUCUGGGAGGUUGGCAGAGUGGGUUUGAACCCUCUGGGGUGCCCAUUGCCCCAGCCAGGCUCUGGGACAGCCAAACCCUUCACCAGCACCAGGCCGGGGCUGGGCCAGGGGCUGACUCUUCUCUCUUCAGUGCUUUGAUGGUUUUUCCCUCCAGGCGAGGCUGCUGCUCUGCUGGAUUCCCGUCCUGGCCUUGCAAUGCAGACUUGUCCCACCAGAGAGAGCCUUGGCUUCACCACUGCCGAAGCUCCGCAGCAUUUUUGUGCGAGGUUUUUCCUUCACGGCUGCUCCAGCCUGGGGACAGCUCGGUGAAUUAUUUUACCCUCUGUGAUUUACGUGGGUGAGUGGGUGAGUGCUGCACUCUGCCGGGGACCUUCCCAGGGAACGCAGCUUUUGCUGUGCAGGGUUGGUGUGAACCCUGUCGAAGAGGGCUGGGAGGAGGCUGUGCUCCAUCUGCCUGGGUUUUUCUUGCUCAUCAGUGUCCUGGCAGUGAGGGAGCCCCGAGCCCACCAUCCCGGGGGGAGCUGAAGGGGUUAAUGCAGCUCCUUGGGUUUGGUAGCACAGAAAAGAGGCCGUUUGCUGCACUAACAGGAAAGUUGGGAGCAGAUUGCCAGCAGCUUCCUUCCAAUCCCUGCACCAAACAGAUUGUGCUGUGUCUCCUUGGGAGGAAGAGCCCGGAGUGGUGUGUGACCUCUGUGCUGUAACAAUAAA